GUGCCAGCAGCCGCGGUAAUUCCAGCUCCAAUAGCGUAUAUUAAAGUUGUUGUGGUUAAAAAGCUCGUAGUUGAACCUUGGGCCUGGCUGGCCGGUCCGCCUCACCGCGUGCACUGGUCCGGCCGGGCCUUUCCCUCUGUGGAACCCCAUACCCUUCACUGGGCGUGGCGGGGAAACAGGACAUUUACUUUGAAAAAAUUAGAGUGCUCCAGGCAGGCCUAUGCUCGAAUACAUUAGCAUGGAAUAAUAAAAUAGGACGCGCGGUUCUAUUUUGUUGGUUUAUAGGACCGCCGUAAUGAUUAAUAGGGACAGUCGGGGGCAUCAGUAUUCAACUGUCAGAGGUGAAAUUCUUGGAUCAGUUGAAGACUAACUACUGCGAAAGCAUUUGCCAAGGAUGUUUUCAUUAAUCAGGAACGAAAGUUAGGGGAUCGAAGACGAUCAGAUACCGUCGUAGUCUUAACCAUAAACUAUGCCGACUAGGGAUCGGACGGUGUUAUUCAUGACCCGUUCGGCACCUUACGAGAAAUCAAAGUGCUUGGGCUCCAGGGGGAGUAUGGUCGCAAGGCUGAAACUUAAAGAAAUUGACGGAAGGGCACCACCAGGGGUGGAGCCUGCGGCUUAAUUUGACUCAACACGGGGAAACUCACCAGGUCCAGACACAAUAAGGAUUGACAGAUUGAGAGCUCUUUCUUGAUUUUGUGGGUGGUGGUGCAUGGCCGUUCUUAGUUGGUGGGGUGACUUGUCUGCUUAAUUGCGAUAACGAACG
rnacentral:rRNA from 1 species